GACGAACGCUUGCGACGUGCCUAAGAAAUGCAAGUCGAACGGGGGAGCAAUCCCCAGUGGCGAACGGUCGCGUAACACGUGGGCAACCUGCCCCAGAGCGGGGGACGAACAACCCGAAAGGGUUGCUAAUACCGCAUGUGGACCCGGGAAGGCAUCUUUUCGUGUCCAAAGCCUGCUAGCAAUAGCGGGGCACUCUGGGAUGGGCCCGCGGCCUAUCAGCUACGUUGGUGAGGUAACGGCUCACCAAGGCGACGACGGGUAGCUGGUCUGAGAGGAUGGCCAG
rnacentral:rRNA from 1 species